AGCUGAAGGAUUACUGGAAGGCCCUGUGAAAGAUUUAAAAACUGGAAUCUUGGCUACCGAGAACUUAAUGGAAAAAAGUGAAACACAGAUGACAAAACCUGAAGGUAUUUUCACCUUUCUUUCUUUAUCUUUGUGAUUUCGUUACAUUUAGAUGCAUACCUAUGUUAAUGGAAAAAAUAUAAUUUAAACUUUUUUUUUUUUCCUUGGAUAAUCCUUCAGUUCUCUAACUCUAGCUCUUGAGUCCUCUGAGUCUCUUUUUCCCUGAUCUCAUCUCUGCAGUACUCCUGUAUGAAUAAGUUGAGUUUGACUGCUUCAGCUCCAUAAUAAAUGCUUCUGCUGCUACAACAUGUGCCUACUACUCUUGAUUCUUUUACUGCAGAUGCAAUAAGGAGUCUUUAAAUAUCUUGCUGAUUUGACACUGUGCUGUGAUAUGGUUUUACAUCUUAUCAUUUAACUAACUUUCUAGCUUUAGCUUUCUAGUGAAAUUAAUCCGAAUUAGAACGUAACUGAAAUCAUAAGAUAUCAAUGAAGAGACCGUAAUUAGUACACUAAAUACAUUGUGCUCAAGGUUAAAGCAGCAGGAUAGUGGUAGAUUACCACAACAGCUCUCAGUAUGGUCAAUAUGUGGUUGUAAUAUAGAGUCAAGAAAUAGCUGAGAUUAAAACUGUCCGAAUCAGUUUACUCAUAGAGUUGCAUAGUGUUGCAUCAAUAGCUGCAGUGUGGACAGAAUUGUUAUACUCAAUGACAGCCCCAGUCAGCGGGACUUCACAAUUUUUUGUAUUAGCCACAGCAUAAUGUGAUGGCAGAUAAGAACCAUUUGGCCCUUCUAGUCUGACCAAUUUUCUAAAUACUAUAAUUAAUCCCUGGCCUUUAUUUUAAGCCUAGGAUAGCCUUAUAUUCCACGCAUGCUUAACCCCUUAAGGACACAUGACGUGUGACAUGUCAUGAUUCCCUUUUAUUCCAGAAGUUUGGUCCUUAAGGGGUUAAACUCCCUCACUGUGUUAACCUCUACCACUUCAGCUGGAAGGCCAUUCCAUGCGUCCACUACCUCCUCUGUAAAGUAAUACUUCCUAAAAUUGUUACCCCUUUUGCCCCUAAAUUUAAGAUUGUCCUCUUGUUGUGGUCGUUAUUAUUCUUUUAAAUAUCGCCUUCAUUUCUUUGUUGAUUCCUUUUAUGUAUUUAAAGGUUUUUAUCAUAUCCCCCCGUCUCGUCUUUGCUCCAAGCUAUACAUGUUAAGAUCCUUUAACCUUUCUUGGUAAGUUUUAUCCUGCAAUCAAUAAACCAGUUUAGUAGCCCUUCUCAGAACUCUUUCCAAAGUAUCAAUAUCCUUCUGAAGAUACGGUCUCCAGUACUGUGUACAAUACUUCAAGUGAGGUCUCACCAGUGUUCUGUACAAUGACAUGAGCACUUCCCUCUUUCUACUGCUAAUACCUCUCCCUAUACAACCAAGCAUUCUGCUAGCAGUUCCUGCUGCUCUAUUACACUGUCUGCCUACCUUUAAGUCAUCAGAAAUAAUUACUCCUAAAUCCCUUUUCUCAGAUGUUGAGGUUAGUAGGGUAUCAAAUAUUCUAUAUUCUACCCUUGGGUUUUUACGCCCAAGAUGCAUUAUCUUCCACUUAUCCAAAUGAAAUGUCAGUUGCCACAGUUUUUGACCAUUUUUCUAAUUUACCAGCAUCACUUGCCAUUUGGCUUAUCCCUCCUGGAACAUCAAUCCUGUUUGCAAAUGUUAGUAUCAUCAGCAAAAAGACAUACCUUACCACCUUCUGCAAUAUCACUAUUUAAAAUAUUAAAGAGAAUGGGUCAAAGUACAGAUCCCUGAGGUACUCCAUUGGUAACUAGACCUAGAUUUGAAUAUACUCUAUUGACUACAACCCUCUGUUGCCUGUCACUCAGCCACUCCCUCACCCAUUCAACAGUAUUGAAAUCCAAACUUAAAGAUUGCAGUUUAUUGAUGAGCCUUGUGGCCUGUGUCAAAAGCCUUACUGAAAUUUAGGUAAACAAUGUCUACUGCACCACCCUGAUCUUUUAUUUUAGUUACCCAAUCAAAAAAUCUAUAAGAUUACUUUGGCAUGAUCUCCCUGAAGUAACCCCAUGUUGUUUUUGAUUUUGAAAUCCAUGUAAUUUUAGAUUUUCAACAAUCAUAUCCUUUAACAUGGUUUCAAUAUUAAUAUCCUUUAACAGCUUUUAAUACUGUUAGGAAAGAACUGUAUGCAGGGACGGACUGUCCACUCGGGCUGUUCAGUCAUCCGAGGGCCCAAGGCAGUCAGGGUUCCAGCCGCCUGAACAGCUAUACUCUGACUGGGAGAUCAGCGAUCUCCCCAACUAGAAAAACAUAAUUAAAUACAUAAGACAAGGUAAGGUUGCAGGGCCUCUUACUACAACCUACUGCACUGUAAGUGUCCCUAUCCUCCCCUUUCUCAGUGAAACCUGGUGUUCUGUGGGAGUUCUGGCUGCCAGGUUUCCUCCUCCUGUGUUGUGCUCUCUGUGAAUUUGUGUAUCAAAUCAGUGAGUGUGUUUGUCAGUGAGUGUGUCUGUUUAGAUGACCGGUCCCCCUCCAAUCACAUGGGAAAGGUGUUUUUACUCAUCUUUUUUCAACAUGCCGUGCCAGUCUCACUGCAUUCAUGGCUGAGAUCAUCAUCAAAGUUGAUUAUAGGAAAGCAUUGGAAGGCUAUGUAUUGCAAAACGCCACACUUCGCCAAUCAUCAUCUCCUCAUAGAGAUGCAUUAUUAUUAUUUAUAUAACGCCAUCAGAUUCCGUAGCUCUAUACAAUGGGUGGACUAACAGACAUAUAAUUGUAACCAGACAACUGGACGUACAGGAACAGAGAGGUGGAGGGCCCUGCUCAAUGAGCUUACAUUCUAGAGGGAGUGGGGUAUAGUGACACAAAGGGUAAAAGUAGGGGUAUGAAGUAGGUUGUUAGAAAAUUACUUAGUAGGGCUUAGUAGGUAAUUUUGACAGUUGCAGGAGAGGAGUCAUGGGGGUGGGGGAUAAAAACCUGCUAACAGUUUAAUUGAUAUGCUUUCUUGAAGAAGUGAGCUUUCAAUGAUUUUUUUGAAUGGAGUGGAGACUAGAAUUUGAGUGGAGACUGGAUGAAAGUCUUAUGGAGAAGGGAAAGGAGUUCCACAGAGGAGGUGCAGCCCUGGAGAGGUGGGAGUACGGACAGAGGAUAUACGUAAGUCUUUGGCAGAGCAUAAAGGCCUCGACGGGACAUACUUUUGUAUUAGGGAGGAUAGGUAGGUUGGAGCAGCAUUAUGUAGGGAUUUGUGAGCAAGCACCAGAAUUUUAAAUUGAGCCCUAUAUCUAGCUGGAAGCAAUGCAGGGACUGACUGAGAGGGGAUGCAUGGGUGGUGCGAGCGUACAGGAAAAUUAGUCUCGCCACCGCAUUCAUUAUAGAUUGCAGCGGUGCAAUCUGGGAACACGUAAGUCCACUGAGAAGGGGAUUGCAGUAGUCAAGGCGAGAGACAACAACCGCAUGGACCAGCUCCUUAGCUGCAUCUGGCGUUAAAUAGGGGCGGAGGCGCGCUAUGUUUUUGAGAUGCAAGCGACAGGAUUUGGCGACUGAUUGGAUAUGAGGGGUGAAGGAGAAGUUGUAAUCAAAAAGAACACCCAGGCAACGAGCCUGCAAGGUAGAGGUGAUGGUAAGGAGACAGACAAGGGAUAUUAACGCUUGAGGGAGGAAAGACCACAAGUUCUGUUUUGGACAGGUUGAGUUUAAGGAAGUGAGCAGCCAUCCAGUUGGAAAUUGCAGAGAGGCAGUCAGAGUCACGAGUCAAGAUGGGUGGAGAGAGAUCAGGGGUGGACAGGUAGAUUUGUGUGUCAUCUGCAUAGAAAUGAUAACGGAAGCCAAAGGAGCUGAUGAGUUUACCAAGGGAGGUGCUAUAGAUAGAGAACAGUAGGGGACCAAGGACAGAACCUUGGAGGACGCCAACAGAGAGUGGUUGGGGGGAAGAGGCAGAGUCAGAGAAAGAAACACUGAGAGAGAGUGCUGGGAGAGGAAGGAGGAGCACCAGGACAGAGCAGUAUCCCUUAGACCAACAGCUUCUCCGCAUUCCCCAUAAUUUUGAUGAUCAACAGUGUCAAAGGCAGCAGAAAGAUCAAGGAGACAGAGUUGCCAACAGAGUGGAGGGAUUACUGGGAGGGGCUGGUGAUGACUCAGCUGUCCUGGUCCAUGCUGGUACCAAUGACAAAGUCAGAGGAAAAUGGAAGGUCCUAAAGAAUGAGUUCAGGGAACUAGAAAGUAUGCUAAAGAAAAGGACCUCCAAGGUAAUAUUUUCAGAAAUAUUACCUGUGCUGCACGCUACAGCAGAAAGGCAGCGGGAGAUUAGAGAGGUCAAUGCGUGGCUGAAGUCUUGGUGCAGGAAAGAGGGUUUGGGGUUUUUAGAGCACUGGGACGAUAUUGCCUAAAUGGAAGAGGGUUUGCUGUGCUGGGGGAUAGGAUGGCUAGAAGGUUGGAGGAGAUUUUAAACUAGUGGUAGGGGGGGAGGGUCAAACCAGUCUAGAAAAUGGAGAUAGGAUAGAAACAAAGGGGGUGGAGAUGGGGGAGGGGAAAGCUCAGAACAGAGGAGGUAUGUAAUAUUGAUAAUGUACAAAAAGUACAAAUGACUCAUGAUAAUAUUAAAUGUAUGCUUACUAAUGCAAGGAGCCUAUAUAACAAAAUGGGGGAACUAGAGGCAAUAGCAUACACUAAACAAUAUGAUAUAAUAGGCAUAACAGAAACAUGGUGGGAUGAGACACAUGACUGAGCAGUUAAAUUAAAUGGGUACAUGUUAUUUAGGAAGGAUAGGAAAAACAAGAAGGGUGGUGGGGUAUGUUUGUAUGUCAACGAAGAGUUAAAGUCAAAUCUUAGGCAUGUGGAGUGUGACGAGGAAAAUGUGGAAGCUCUAUGGGUAGAUAUCUGCUUACAAAGGGAAAUCAAUUAUUGGUUGGAAAAUGUUAUAAACCGCCUAAUGUAAAUAUUAAUGAGGAAGAACGGCUGUUAGAGCAAAUUGGGAAAGCUGCAAAUCGGGGUAACACGUUAAUUAUUGGAGAUUUUAAUUACCCGGACAUAAAUUGGGAUAGAGGGACUAGUACUUCAGCAAGGGGAAUCAGGUUUUUAAAUGUGUUAAAUUACACCUUUACAUAGAAACAUAGACUGUGACAGCAGAUAAGAACCAUUCGGCCCAUCUAGACUGCCCAAUUUUAUAAAAUACUUUCAUUAGUCUCUUAUAUCUAAGAUAGCCUUAUGUCUAUCCCACGCAUGCUUAAACUCCUUCACUGUAUAAACCUCUACCACUUCAGCUGGAAGGCUUUUUCAUGCAUCCACUACCCUCUCAGUAAAGUAAUACUUCCUGAUUAGUGAUGUCCCUAACUGUUCGCCGAACGGUUCGCGAACGGUUUGCCACGAACGGUUCGUUGCGGACUCAUCAUUGAGUAAACUUUGACCCUGUACCUCACAGUCAGCAGACACAUUCCAGCCAAUCAGCAGCAGACCCUCCCUCCUCCUCACAGCUCACUAAGGAUGCAGCUUCACAGUGGAUGCUGUCCAGGAGGUGGGAGGGUCUGGUAGGGAGGGUCUGCUGCUGAUUGGCUGGAAUGUGUCUGCUGACUGUGAGGUACAGGGUCAAAGUUUACUCAAUGAUGAGUCCGCAGCGAACCGUUCACGAACAGUUCGGAACAUCACUAUUCCUGAUAUGUUUAAACCUUUGCCCUUCUAAUUUAAGACUAUGUCUUCUUGUUGAGGUAGUUUUUCUUCUUUUAAAUAUGGUCUCCUCCUUUACUGUGUUGAUUCCCUUUAUGUAUUUAAAUGUUUCUAUCAUAUCCCCCCUGUCUCGUCUUUCCUCCAUGUUACGAUCAUUUAACCUUUCCUGGUAAGUUUUAUCCUACAAUCCAUGAACCAAUCCAUGAAUCAUUAAGCUGAAGUGGUCUGGGUGCCUAGAGUGGUCCUUUAAAGAUUGCAGUUUAUUGAUAUGCCUUCUAUGUGCAACAGUGUCAAAAGCCUUACUGAAAUCUAGGUAAGCAAUGUCUACUGCACCACCCUGAUCUAUUAUUUUAGUUACCCAAUCAAAAAAAUCAAUAAGAUUAGUUUGGCAUGAUCUCCCUGAAGUAAACCAUGUAUUUUUAGAUGUUCAUCAAUCCUAUCCUUUAACAUGGUUUCCAUUACUUUCCCCACUACUGAAAUAAGGCUUACUGGCCUAUAGUUGCCCGACUCCUCCCUACUACCUUUCUUGUGAAUGGGCACAACAUUUGCUAACUUCCAAUGUUCUGGGACUACUCCUGUUAACAUGAUUGGUUAAAUAAAUGUUAAUGGUUUUGCUAGUACACCACUAAGCUCUUUUAAUAACUUUGGGUGUAUUCCAUCAGGUCCCAUUGACUUAUUUGUCUUUUUGUCUUUACUUUUGACAGUUGAAAUAGGACCUCCUCCUUUGUAAACGCACAUGUAAUAAAUGACUUAUUUGUCCUUUUUCUUAACUGAGGUCCCUUUCCUUUUUUUUUACUGACUGUGCUAUUUUCUCUUCUGUGUGAGAUUUGGAAGCUAUUAUAAGUUGCUUAGCCUCUUUCUGCCUAAUCUUAUAGAGCAUUCUGUCUUCCUCACUAUUUACUAUUUUGGCCACAUCUGCGUAGUACCACAGUGGUUUCUUGAAUAUUUUUGCUUUUACUAACAAGCCUAAUGCAAUUUUCUGUUGCCUUCAGCAGUGCAACUUUUAAAUAAUCCCAUUUCUCUUGGACUCCAUUUAAAUUGCCCCAAUCUGAUUAUGACUCCUUUUACACAUAUUCUAAUUUUAGAAAAGUCUUUUUUUAUUUUUUUUUUUAAAGUCUAAAACCUUUGUUUUUGUGUGGUAUGACUGUCACUGUUCUUUUAUUAAACCACACUGACUGAUGAUCACUGGAUCCUAAACUUUCAGUAAUAUCUGAUACCAAAUCUCCAUUUGUUAACACUAAAUCUAGUAUGGCCUCUUUAUGAGUUAGCUCCUCAAUGACUUGUUUUAGAGACAAUCCCAGUAGGGAGUUUAGAAAUAUGUGUGCUCCUGGCACAAUUAGCUAACUUUGUUUUCAAAUUCACAUCAGGAAGAUAACUUCCCCCUUCAUUGUAAUUUUAGCUAUUUCCUCAACUAGUAGAUUAUCUAACUCUUCUAUUUGUCCUGGGGGCCUAUACACAUACACGAGUUACUGUGUGAUUACCAAAUUCUAACGUAACAUAAAUGGACUCUCUGUUCGCCUCACUAACUUUUAUUAGGCUAGAUUUUAUGCUAUCCUUCACAUACAGGGCAACCCCUCCCCCUUUCUUGCUUUCCCUGUCUUUUCUAUAUAAAGAGUACCCUGGUAUUGCCAUGUUCCAGUCAUUUUUCUCAUUAUACCAUGUCUCAGUAACAGCAACUAAAUCUACAUUAUCAGUUGCCAUUAUUGCCACAAGUUCAUGGAUCUUAUUCCCUAAACUGUGAGCAUUUGUAGACAUGACUCUUAGCUUGUCAUUUUUUAACACACUUGCUAAAGGCACCUUCUGUCCUUGUUUUGGGGGGCAAUUGGAUUGAUGUUUUAUCACCCUUUUGCCCCCCCACCCCUCCUAGUUUAAAUACAUCCUAGCAAAACCUCUGAACUGCUCACUGAGAACAUUUGUUCCCUUUUGAGAAAGAUGCAAACCAUCUUUUUUGUACAGUUUAUUUCCAUUUCAAACAGAGCUACCAUGAGAAAUAAAGCCAAAUCCUUGCUCCUGACACCAUUCACCAAGCCACAAGUCCCUAAUACGCAUCCGCCUCUCGUUCUGAGUGUUAUGCACAGUGUGGAAGCAACCUGCUGUAUAUCAUUGGCAAAAACACUAAAAACUUCCUUAACCUCUGAAACCUCAUUGCAAGCCAAGUCAUUUGUCCCUGGAUGGACAAGUACAUCCAAUUCCCCUUCCUGCUUUGCUCGCUUAACAAUAUUACAAAUACGUCUCCUGUCUCUGUGAGCAGUAGCUCCGGGAAGACAUCUCACAAGACCACAAUUGUCCAUCUCCUCACCUCUUAUGAUGGAAUCCCCCAACAACAACUUCUUUCUAUUAGGCCUCACCAUAGUCUCCAAGCCUGUCUCCACAACACCACUACCCUCAGUGCCUGAGCCUGUCUCCACAACACCACUACACUCAGUGCCGGUCUCCAUAACACCACUACCCUCAGUACCUGAGCCUGUCUCCAUAACACCAUUACACUCUCUGAAAGUGCAGAAAAUGAAUUAUGUAGAGAAACAGACUGUGCAAUAUGCCUUUCAGCCUCAACUCUGUCUACCAGAUCCUACAGUAAUCCAUCUUCCAUUCCUAGUACAUCUCUGCGGCAGUGGCUUUGCAGCAGUUCCAGACUGAGUUUGUUUACCAGAUAAUUUACAAAUCUCAGACUUCAAAAAUACAAUCUCCUGCCGCAUAAUAGAGAACUGUCUACAGAUUAGACAGCAUCCAAAUCUCCAAAAAGUGGAACGUGAAACAAAUGCAUAACAACUAUUACACUGAACUAAGUCUGCCAUUUCAGUAAGGUGAAUAAUUUAAAUCAAACAAAUCUUAAAUUUUUAGUCCUCCUGAAUACCUCCGAUUUCUUCCAGUUUAUUUCCAGAAUAUCUCCAACCACACACUUAGAAGCAGCACUCUCCAGAAUAUCUCCAACCACACACUUAGAAGCAGCACUCUCCAGAAUAUCUCCAACCACACACUUAGAAGCAACACUCUCCAGAAUAUCUCCAACCACACACUUAGAAGCAGCACUCUCCAGAAUAUCUCCAACCACACACUUAGAAGCAGCACUUAGAUGAAGCAGCCAAGCUAUAUUAGCCAAGCUAAUGACAACAACCCUUAUAUAACUCCUAAAAUCACCACCCACUAGGAAUGUUUAACACCUGGGUAGGCCUCUGCUUGUUUGCAAACAAUAGCUAAUUAACCAGUAAUCAAUAGCAAGUAACUAGCUUAAUCAAAUCAAAUGCCUUACCAAAUUACCAACAGGAAAUCAAACCUUGUACAAUCAGUAACCUUUUCCUACAGAUGAAUCUUACCUGUAACAGUAGAAAAGAAAACUCUCUUAGCAAAAUCUUAGACAGUUGAAGCUUCUGUAAAACUCUCCAGAAUAUCUCCAACCACACACUUAGAAGCAGCACUUAACUACCAGUACCGCCCAUCUUGAGGCAGCACAGAAAAUUCUCUAUAGGUGGUACUUAGUACCAACACGUUUAAAUUCUAUGUCCCCCUUAACGUCAAACCAGUGCUGGAGAUGUCAUAAAGCUAAAGGUACUAUGUUACAUGUUUGGUGGUCAUGCGAAGCAGUUAAUUCCUUAUGGAAUGAUGUUAUCAAGAUGAUAAAACAUGUGACAAAUAUUGAACUAUCCCAAGAUCCUAAAACUAUAUUGUUACGACUACUUCCAAGUAAUUUACCAAAAUUAAUCAAGAAAAUUAUUUUUCUCUUAUUAAGUACAGCAUCUAUAUUAAUUGCUAGACAAUGGAAGACCAAGGUUUUACCUUCUCGACGAGAAAUUGAAGAAUUAAUGACCUCAACAGUGGAACAUGAAUUGUUAAUGUGGAAUCAAAUGAAAAUAGGGAAAUCGAGCCCUGGUAUAGACCAAAUGUGGCGGAUAUAUUUACUAUCGCAUACUAAUUAAACUCUGGAAUAUUUAAACCUAGAGGCCUCUAUACGGAAUACAUUUUGCUGACUAUAAUCAACAUAUAGAUGAUCUCAUUUAAUCAUUUAAUUAGUUAUGGAAGAAAAUAACUUUAUAAAUUAAGCUAGGUUAACACUCUUCCCCUACCCUGCUUUUCUGUUUUUGUUUUUGUUUUUGGCAUGAUUGGUAAGGGGAUAUUCUUUAGAGUGAUAACUGUCACUAUUAGUGGCUAAAGCAAUGUAGACAAUAUAAGGGUUAGUUUAGAAGAAAAGUAAAAGGAUAAAGAAGAGGAGAGGGAGGGAGAAGGGGAAAGAAAGGAGAGAGUAAAAAAAUAUUUUGUGAAUAUGUAUAUUAGUUAUUACUGUAAUUUAUUGUAUAUAAUUUAAGAUACAUGAACUAUAUAAGAUAGGUUAUAUCUUGGAAUUUAGGCAUAUAUAAAGUGAUGAACUAUAUGCUAUCGAUGAUAUGUACAGAGACAAGUGACCUUGUUUGGUUGUUUUUCCUUCCCUUUUUUUUCUUUCUGUAUCCCUUAUUAUUUGAAAAAGUUAAAAUAAAAAAGUAAAUUGCAAAAAAAAGAAGCAGCACUUAGAUGAAGUAACCAAGCUUUAUGUCACAACUGGUACAAGCACCAACUAGAAAGGAUGCUUGUCUGGAUCUCGUUAUAACAAACAAUGUUGAUCUUUUAACCAACAUUCAAGUAGGGGAGCAUUUGGGAAAUAGUGAUCACAAUAUGGUAAUUUUUUAAAUAAACUCAAAAAAGCAAAAGCACGUGGGGUACACUAAAAGUAUAAUUUAAAAAAAGCCAAUUUCAAUAAGAUUAGGGCAGCUCUACAACAUAUCGACUGGCAUAAACUCCUUAGUGAUAAAAACACUGAGGAUAAAUGGAAACUAUUCAAACAAAUAUUAGAACGGUACAUUUCUCAGUAUGUACCAUUGGGUAAUAAAUAGUGAUGUCCCGAACGGUUCGCAGCGAACAGUUAGCCGCGGACUCAUCGAGUAAACUUUGACCCUGUACCUCACAGUCAGCAGACACAUUCCAGCCAAUCAGCAGCAGACGCUCCCUUCCAGACCCUCACACCUUCUGGACAGCUCACUAAGAAUGCAGCUUCACAAUGAAUGUAAAAUGGAUGCUGUCCAGGAGGUGGGAGGGUCUGGGAGGGAGGGUCUGCUGCUGAUUGGCUGGAAGGUGUCUGCUGACUGUGAGGUACAGGGUCAAAGUUUACUCAAUGAUGAGUCAGCGGCGAACCGUUCGUGGCGAACCAUUCGGGACAUCACUAGUAAUAAAUAUAAAAGAAACAAAUUAAAACCAAUGUGACUUAGUAGAGAAGUAAAAGAAGAGAUUAAAAAUAAGAAAAGGGCAUUUAAAACAUUUAAAUCGGACACAUCAGAGGCAUCCUAUAUAAGAUUAUAAGGAAGCCAAUAAUGCUUGCUAAAAGGCAAUUAAAGUGGCUAAACUAGAAAAUUAGAAAUUGAAAGCAAAACCAACCUCCAACAAUUUUUCAAGUACAUCAAUUCUAAAAAAAACAAAAAAUGAAAGUGUAGGUAUACUGGAAACAGAGGUGGGUUUGUUAGCUAAUGAAGACCAGGAAAAAGCAGAAAUUUUAAUUAACUAUUUUUCUUCAGUAUAUAUUAAUGAGGAUCCUAUGACAAGAGAUAUGCAAAUGAUUGCUGCAAAAAACUUGCAGAUAUCUUGUGAAUGGAUAACUAGAGACAAGGUGCUACAGCUAUUAAAUAAAAUUAAUAUAAAUAAAGCUCUGGGGCCUGAUCGUAUUCACCCACGAGUACUUAAGGAGCUAAGUGGGGAAAUAAGUGAACCUCUGUAUUUAAUUUUUCAAGAUUCUUUUGUUUCAGGUAGUGUACCGGAGGAUUGGAGGAAGGCAGAUGUUGUUCCUAUGUUUAAAUAGGGUUCAAAAUCCUUGCCUGGAAAUUAUAGACCUGUGAGCUUAACUUCUGUGACUGGGAAAAUAUUUAAAGGGCUAUUAAGGGAUAAUAUUCAGGAAUUCAUUGGGAAGAACUUUAUUAGCAAUAAUCAGCAUGGUUUUAUGAAACAUAGGUCAUGUCAAACUAACCUAAUUGCAUUCUACGAAGAAGUAAGUAGAAGUAUAGAUCAGGGUGUUGCAGUGUAUGUGAUCUACUUGGAUUUUGCCAAGGCAUUUGAUACGGUUCCUCACAAUAGGUUAGUCUUCAAACUAAAAGAAAUUGGUCUAGAUGAGUAUUCUUGUUGUUGGGUAGAACAUUGGCUCAAGGAUAGAGUUCAAUGAGUUGUCAUUAAUGGUAAAUUUUCAGGCUGGCCAAAAGUGGUAAGUGGUGUCCUACAGGGUUCUGUUUUGGGACCGCUUUUAUUUAACAUAUUUAUAAAUGAUCUUGAAAUAGGCAUUGAAAGCCAUGUAUCAGUGUUUGUAGAUGACACAAAACUUUGUAAAGUAAUAAAAUGUGAGCAGGAUAUUGUUUGCUGCAGAGGGAUUUGCAUAGAUUGGGGGACUGGGCACUAAAAUGGCAGAUGAAAUUUAACGUAGAGAAAUGCAAAGUUAACAUUGAAUUGGGAACGUUCAGCACCUCCAUGCAGAAAAUGGAGACACUGAACGUAGGUGCUAUACAAAGGCUGUCUGAGUGAUUGUCACUAGAGGUGUUACUAGGCAACAGUGUAAACAUUGCCUUUUCUAUUAAAAGGCAGUGUUUACAUUGAUGUGUGCAGGGACAGGCCAUAGACACCAGAGCAACUUCAUUAAGCUGUACUGGUUUUGGAUUCUCUAGUGUUCCUUUAAGAAUUGUAUUUUGAGGUUGUAAAACCUGGCUCCUAACAUUUUUAGCUGGCUGCUAGAUUCUAAGCAAAUUUGUCAAGGCCUGUCCUCGCUGCACCCACCUCAACCUUUAUCCUUCUCUGUAACCACUAAAGCCUCUAUCCUUCCCUGUACCCACCACAGCACCUGUCCCUCCCAGCACCCACAACAAAUCUUCUGCCCCUUUGCGCCUACAACAUCCACUCUACUGCAACUACAGCCCCCUUGUACCUAUUACAGCCCUAUUAUUUAUAUUAGAGGGAGGGGAAGAGGGGGAACAUGCCAACAGUUUUAAUAAAACACUGUAUUUGGUUGGAUUAACACCUUAAAAGUGAAAUCUGAUCUUGUUUGGGGGGCCCUGUGGUUGUGGGAGUUAUGAUUGUGUGGAUCUCACACAGCCAUUCUAAGGUCUGGGCAGAGUAGAAGUGGCCAAAACAAGCUUGCACCAUGAGAGAGGCCCUUGGUCCCCCAUUGCCAGAUGUCCCUGUGAGUUGUCAGUCCGUUCCUGGCUGUCUGCCAUUUCUCUUGUCCUUCUUGGACUUUCCUGUUUUUUUGUUUUUUUUGUGUGUAUAAUGAAUAAGCAUAAAAGAAAUCUACUGAAAAAGAUUUCACGGGUCUCCUAAUUUUUAGACGUGCAGUUGCCUAAUCCAGGCAAUUAUCAUUUAUUGGGGAGGGGCCUGCACAACUAUAAUCCGCUAGAGAAUGAAUGAAACUUUUUUUUUUUUUUUUCUUCCAUACAAUGUAAGGCAAUUUAACGCCACAUAAUAUUCUAUUUUACACAAUGCGCAUGUGCAAAAUUUGUCACUAUGCACAAUGCAUCAAACAGGACAUUAACUAUAUUUGAGGCUUGUGUCAUUUGACGAUAGAUGACGCACCAGAAUGAUACAAGCGAGAUAUGGUAACAACGACACAUAGAUGGAUUUGGUUGGUACAAAUUUGAAGCCAGUUUUAAUAUCAAUGAGGGGCCCUUCAAAUUCACAUGAAAUGUUCUGUCGCUUGAGAGCAAAGUAAACAUGUUUCUGGUACGUCAAUAUUGGUAAGUGCUCUCAUUUUUUGACACAAGAGUCUGGAGGUUUGGAAUUAACUAGAUUUUGAUGCAGGUAUGUCAAUAUUAGAAGAUGACCUUGCAAGCAAUGCCAAGAGUAUGGCUGACUUAUUGCACAACAAAUUUAUGUUGCGUUCCAACUGCUGUGCCCUCUCCCUCUCCAAAUAAUCAUACCUCAUCUCCCUCACCUCCAUCUUCUAAUAUAACCCCAAACACCUCUUUCAAACUUUUUUUUUACUAUUCUUUGUUUUUAUGGUGCAAAUGAUAACACAUAUGGUUGCAAUGGCAAGGUCAUUAAGAACCGUAAAAAACAUUUGUAUGGCAUGUAGAAUAACAGCACAAUUUUGCACAUUUUGUUAAUUAUAAUAUAUCAAGAUGAGAAAGGUUGCUCAUAAAAAGUAGACUAGGUUGAGUGAUGAGACCUCGUUAAACAAAAUGGCAUGGAAAAUGAUUUGCUUAAGAGUAAAAUAAAGUGGAAAAUGUAUUCAUACUUACCGUAAUUUUCUUUUCCCGGCUCUUAUUCAUGGCAGCAUAUACUUCAUGGGUUAGCACAGCCCCUUAGAGCCGAUAGGACAGGAAAAACACCAAAGGCUUUAAAAGGAGGCUCCAUUCCUAAGGUCCUCAGUCAGAUAAAUAGAGACAUUGGUGGGUGGGUAGUAUAUGCUGCCAGGAAUAAUAGCCAGGAAAAGAAAAUUACGCUAAGUAUGAAUACAUUUUCCACUUUCAUGGCAGCAUAUAAAUCAUUGGAAUACCCAAGCUAACAAAGGGAGGGACAGAAAUUUAAAUAACUGUCAAUCAAAUAAUCAGAACAAUUCAACAUAGAUUAGAAGAUUGAACUGAGUUAAGUACUUGACGUCCAGAUUGCACAUCAUUGACGGCUUUAACGUCCAGUAUUAAAUGCCGGACAAACGUGUCUAAAGAGGUCCAAAUGCCAGCUUUACAAAAAGUGUCAGCAGAAAUCAUUGCCACUGAAACCCAGGAUGCUGCAACAGCAUGAGUGGAGAGUGCCCUGAUACCCUUCGGCACAGGUAGAGAAUGGCAUUAAUAAGCUUUGCUCUUAGUCAGGAUAUCUGUGGCUAAAUGCAAGACAACCAUAUCCUGUUGAAAAUUAGUGAAUGGGGGUCCACAGAACCAAGCCUGGAGUUAACACAUUCUCCUUGCUGAGGUAUCAGCCACCAGCAACAUCACUUUCUGUGCUACCACCAUGGAAACUCCUGCUAGUGGUUCGAAUGAUGGUUUAGUCAGAGCCUGUGAGACCAGUGGUACGUCACAUAUUGGCUUCAACACCCUCAGUGGAGGCUUAGUUUAAUUGCUGCUUACAUGAAGCAAAGCACCAGGGGUUCCAAUGUUCAAUAGGCACCCAUCAAUGUGGAAAGUGCAGAUAUGUGCUCCUCUUGAUUGUUAUAACUCAGGCCCUUUCUAGGACUGAUGGAGGAGUAAUUCCAGCCUCUAUUCUUGAGACCAACAGACAAAUACAUGCCAAGUUUUGUAAAGUAUUUAUAGGACUGUAAGAGACCGUCUAAGGGAUGCUUAUACUUAUAGAGACUCCCGCAUCAACACCAGAACUUGAGGAUCUUGGUGUGUCAAGGGACCUUGCAAUAGGUCUGGAUGUACUGAAAUUUCCCUUGGAGGUUCCCGAUUCAUCAUACUCAUCAUAGAAAUUUAGUCGACAUGGCCUUCCACUGUCUCCUUUUGAAUUACCUUUAGGAGUAUUUAAAACAGGAAAAAUAUGUACAUCAGACUAAAAUUCCAAAUUUGAGUCAGCGUAUCCUGACCUUGAGCAUUCUGGUCCUAAAAUCUAGUAAAACACUUCUAGACCUGGUAGUUCCAAGAAAUGGCCAUCAGAUCUAUGUAGGGUAUCAGUCAAAUCUGAGUCAACCCUGAGGAUACGUUGGGACAUAGUUGCCAUUCCACCUUGUUAAGUUAUUCGGCUCAGGUAAUCAGCCAUUGUAUUUGGAGUCCCUGGCUGUUCUUCUGUGCCCUGAUCAUCGUGGGUUGUAAUUCCCUCAUCAAUAAGUGGCUGUGAGACCCACCUUGACGAUUGAUAUAGGAUACAGUCGCAUUGAUAUUUGAGCAAAUUUGGACCCACUUGUUCUUCGGCAACCCUCUGAAGUGAAGAGCUCUUAAAAUGACUUGUAAUUCCAUACAUUUGAAUGGCAAUAUCGUGCCUUCCCUUAUCCACAGACCUUGUGUAACAUGGUCCAAACACUGUGCAACCAAUCUUUGAAAACUGCAAUCCAAGCUUAUAAUUGACCAAUGAGGUUCUGUGCACUGCAAACCCAGAGAUAUAUUCUCUUUUCAGCUACCAGGUAUGGUGUAACCCCACUGAUGGUGAUAUUGUCAGUGGCUGGCUCCAACCAAGAUAGGAACGACAUUUGAGGAAUCCUGAGAUGCCAUUGGGUCCAUCUGACAAGUUUGAUACUGGAGCCAGGAUUCCUAGUAGUUGCAUAUACUUUUUGCUGCUACCAAGCAAAAAUGAAGAAACUGGAAGACAAAACUUCCACAAUCUGUGGAACUGUUCCUGAAAUAGGAGAAACGCAGAGCAUAUAAUUUUCCACCCAGAAAUAUCAACCUCUGAACUGGUGUGAAAUUGCUUUUCUUGAUAUUCAUCAAGGAGACAAACUUCAGGAGUUCUGAAAAAACUAUAUCCCUCUGUGGACCUGCUUUCUGUGGGUCUGAGGCUACCAGAAGUAGAACAUCCACAUAAUGGAACCAGGUGGUGUUCUGGACUCUCAAUAUCACUAUGAGCAAGGUUCUUGGGGCAACUGGUAGGGCACUAAAUUGGAAGUUCUCUUCUGAGAUAAUGCUGAAGAGCUAGGGCUACUGGGAUGUGAUAGUAAGCCUUUUUUGAGAUAUAGAGAUAAGGAAAUUAUCCUUCCAAAUUGCUUGCGUUAUGGAUCUGAUUGACUCCAUCCCAAAGACUCUGACAUUCAGCCUUUUGCUGCAGUAUAGGCUUCCAUGUAUAAAUAUACAACGUUGCGGCAUAUACUGGGUCCCUGUUUAGCAGAAAUGUUUUCCUGUUAAGGGCGAAUCCAGAAACACCAGAAGAGAGGCAAAUAUUGUCCCUUGAACUGCUCUUGUUAUGGGACCUAAGAAGCCACCUCUUCGUCCCAAAGGCUUCUUACAUAUUCCUCCAGUGCUAUAUCUUGCAGCCCUCAACCGCCUUUUAAAUGGAUUUAUCCAAAGCUUUCCCAAACAGCAGCUCCCCUUCAAAUAGAAUGGUGUAGAUGGCAGACUUGGAGGAUGAGUCAUCAUCCCAGAAACAUAACCAUAAUGCUUUUCUAGCUGCUAUUUAAAGUAAAAAAGGGGCACUGUCAAAUUCUAUUACGAAAAAAACAAGCUGAUUUAAAACUGGCUGAAAACACCACUUACCCAUGUCUGGAGACUCUGCAAAUACUUUACAAAUACGUUUGGGAUGUUUACUGUAAUUUUCUCUCCAUUUUAGUUACUUUCUGGCAGAUGCCCUAAUCCAAGAUGGCUGUCGCAACUUGUAUUCCCAUAAUGCAAGUCACCGGUAUUGGGCUCUUUAAGGCACAAACUGCACAUGCGCGGGCGCCUUUCGAGUGCAUUUGCCAUUUAGAGACUGGGGAGAAAGCACAGUUUAUACUAUGAUGCCUUUAAACUGUGGGGCAUUACGCAGCUGUAAUUAGGCUGUGAUGCCUUUAUACUAUGAUGCCUUUAAACUGUGAUGUCUUUAAAGGCAUCACAGCCUAAGGCACAGCUGCAUAAUGCCCCACAGUUUAAAGACAUCACAGCUUAAAUGCAUCACCGUAUAAAAGCAUUACCACAUAAGGCACAACUGCUUAAUGCACCACAGUUUAAAUGAAUCACAGUGUAAACCUAGCAUAGUAUAAAAAAUCACAGUAUGAAGGCACCAUAAAAUAAAGGCACCCUAAAAUAGCAAAAACAAAUAAAGUAAUGAAGAGACGUCCAUAAGUAAAGGGAGCCAAAUGGUCACAUCCUAAGGGCUGAAGGACAGGAAAAAGACUGAGGACCUUAGGAAUGGAGCCUCCUUUUAAAGCCUUUGGUGUUUUUCCUGUCCUAUCGGCUUUAAGGGGCGGAGCUAACCUGUGAUGUAUAUGCUGCCAUGAUUAGCUAGGAAAACUAAAUCUAUAGAAAUCAUGUCAUAUUGACUAAAGACUCCUGGGCCCCAGAGAAAGACCCAGCCUGAGAGGUAAAAGUGGCCCCUAUAAUAACUGCCCAUUAGCCAGCAGAGAGGCAACCUCAGUCCCCAAGCAGAGAUGAUUUAAUUCCCAUCACCGGCAGUGCACAGUUCCAACCUUCAGUCGCAGGCCCCAAGCAGGCAGUGAACAGCCUGUCCUCCACAAAGGCCACGCCAGCUUGGCAGGAUGUAGAGUGGAUUGGCUUCUCCAUGGAAUCUCCGUGGAAUGGCUUGUAUUGGAGUAGCAGUGCUUAUUUAUCCAUGCUGAAGUAUCAGUAUAUGGUAAGGAGAUGGGGUUUGGCAGGCACUUUAGGUGGUCCGCAAUAAUCGAUCAGGCCCUCAAAGCAAGCGGCCCGACGCACUCUCUGAAAAGGCAGUGUUUACAGCAUGUCCCUGCAAGCUUUUUGCUGUAGACAGCAGAACAAAUACCUUAACCCAGUGGUUUCCAAACUUUUUAGGUUCAAGACGCCCUUAAUAUUUAAAUAUUUUAACAAGGCACCCCAAAUCAAAAAAAAUUAUAGGUUGUAUAAAUAUACAACGUUGCGGCAUAUACUGGGUCCCUGUUUAGCAGAAAUGUUUUCCUGUUAAGGGCGAAUCCAGAACUUAAUCCUGGGGGGGGGGCACUGGCAGAUAAUUUAAAGAAACAAUCCAGGCACAAAAACCACUACAGCACUAGGUAGUAAUUAUGGUGCCAGGAGUGUUGUGGUGCCCUCCGAGGGUAAGUCGUCAAACUGUUUAAGAACAGUUUGACAACUUACCUUGGGUCUGCCGUGAUGGGGGCUGUAGUAGCGGAUAGGUGCAGUAAUGUGUGUGUGUGGUGUGCAAUGUGUGUGGCUUUAGGUGUGUGUGUGUUUGUGUGAGGGGUGUAGUGUGUUUACUGGGGUGCAUUGUGUUUGUGAAAGAUGUAGAGUGUGUGUGGGGGGGGGUGCAUUGUGUGUGUGGGGGAGGGGAUCAAUGUGUGUAUUGAGGGGUACAGUGUGUGUGUGUGAGGGGUACAGUUUGUAUGUAUGGGGGUACACUGUGUGUGUAUGGGGAGGAAAUUAGUAAAUAUACACUUUUUUUUAAUUUAAAAAAAAUAAUUAUUUUCAUAUCCCCCCCUCCCUGCUUACCUUUGCCUGGGGGAGGGGCAAUCCCUGGUGGUCCGGUGGAGAACCCCAUGUGGUGAGAGUGAACUCUAGCAGAUUCACUCUCACGAGAUUUGGAGUGUUGCUGUGCUCUUCCUCCCGGCUGCAGUAUUAUACUGCUAGUGGGCCGGUGACGGAUAUCUCUGAGCCGGCAGGGGAGAGGGAGGCAAGGUUCUAUGAUCAUUCGAUCAUAGCACCGGGGAAAUAUCUCAUGGCGCCCCUGUGUGCACACAGUUUGGGAACCGCUGCAUUAACGCCUUAAGGGUGAAGGCAAUUGUACAAGUUCUGAUCAAAACAAAACCUGGAAAUUUAUGUCUGUUCAACACUUAUUAUAUAUCAUUUUGUUCAAGAGAAACAGGGCUUUCAUUUCACAUCAAAUAGUUAUAUAUGAAAUCUAAAAUCUAAAAAAAAAAGUGUGAAAUUAAGAAAUUUUGCUAUUUUUCAAGUUCUGCAUGACAUUUUAACUAUGAAUGUCAUAAAAUUGUUAAUGUUAACUGCAAUAAAAUACACAUAUUUGUAUUUACCAAUGGCUCACAAGUACAACAGUACCUCUUAUUUACAGGUUUUAUGGGGUUUUGGAAACUUACAGAGUCAAAUAUAGGGCUUUCCCCUUUUCCAUUUUUUCCACUUUGAAAUUUGCCAGAUUGGUUUGUUGGCCCUAUGUUGCCUUUGAGACCGUAUAGCAGCUCAGGAAUGAAAAUGAACCCCAUGCUGGCAUAUCAUUGGGAAAAGCAGACAACCCAGGGUAUUCAAAAUAGGAUAUGCCCAGUCCUUUUUUUAGCAGCCACUUAGUCACAAACUCUGGCCAGAGUUAGUCUUCGUGUUUUUUUUUUUUUUGCCUUUAUCACAAAAAAAAACUUUUUCACCAAUGAUGAUAUCAGCAUUAUACAUUUUAUUGCUCUAAAACACUUCUAUUUGUGUUCAGCAAUACCUCAUAUACAGGUUUUAUGGUGUUUUGGAAAGUUAGUGUCAAUAUUCGGCUUGCCCAUGUCAAUUUGUUUGUCAGGCAGUCCCAGUUGGGAUCAUCGCAGAUCGCCAGUCUAGGGAAGUGCAGAGUGGUGCAGUGGCUGGCUGGGCAUAUUAUGCAGCCCUGUGGCAUUUAAAGCCACCUCCUAAACGACAGCAUAGUACACCCGCCAUUCUUAAGGGGUUAAGCUAUAGUUGUUCUAGAGACUCUAGUGUCCCUUUAAGUGCAUGCAUGUUUUCAUUUGUGGUAUAUCUACUAAACAGUGAUUUAUUUAGGUAGUUAAGUGUACCUUUUAGGUCAACAAGCCUUCAUAACCUUUACCCUGCAGGCACAUUGACACUGACAUUUUCUUCAUUCAAAUCAGUCACCAAAUCCUGUCCCAUUUAACUUAACCCCUUAUGGACCGUGGAGGUAUAAGGUACGUCCGUCAAAAAACGGUCAUUAAGGACCGCAGACAAAACUCAUACGUCCUCUGUAAAUUUGAGCGCUGGAAGCAAUUGCUUCCAGCCGCUCUGAGGGCAUUACACAAUGCCUUGAUAUCGAGGCAUCUUGGAAUACCCACCCACACUGCCGGGCACCCGGAGCGAUCACUUCUGGGUUGCCGCACGUGGCACCCGGCAGUGUGAACAAGAGCAUCGGAAGCAUUCAGGCAGGCUUCCGAUGCUCUGCCUGUAUGGAGUGGCACUCAGUUAAAAUAAUUUUUUUUAAAUUAACCCCUACCCUCCCUCCCUCCCUCCCCCCCCAUGUACUUGCCGAUCACUGCCAUUCCCCCGCUGUCGACAGGUCUUCUUCUGAGGGGAACUGUCUGGGCCAUGAGCCAAGACUUUAUUACAAUUUAUACAUACAUUUAAACCCCCAACAGCCCCAUUUACAUACAAUAGGGUACAUAGAGCACUAUAGUACAAGGAAGGGUGGGGUCAGACAAUAGCAAGGGCUGAUGGGAGAUUGUGGAGGGACAAAGCAGCCAAUUUAAACUGGUCUGGCAGUGUCCCUGGGAAAACACCCUGCUGCGGAAACAAUAGGACAGGAAUAAGGGGGAGGGGAAGAGGCACAGACUAGCAAUACACUCUGAGAGAUAAUUGAGUCAGGAACUGUACAAACUCAAUUAUCUCCAGGUACAGAAAAACGCUCAAUUUACAAACACCCCAAGAUCCAUGGAAACCCCACAAGAGUCACAUCCUCGGAUAGCCCUGAUCUGGGUGACCAACAUAUCCAAAAAUCACCCAGAUCGGUUCAGUGGUUUGGUUUUGCCAUGGAAGUCACUUUUUAGCAUGUCUUUUUGCAGGUGCCCUUCCCCCAUACACGCACACAAACUGCACCCCUCACACACACACACACACACACACACACUGCAUCCCUCACGUAUACCAUUGAGUUUUAUUAUUUCUGGCAGGCGCCGGUCCACAAAAUAUUUCUCCUCUUUUCGCCGGUCCCCGGGUGCUAAAAGGUUGCAGAUCACUGGUUUAAGCUAUCUACAUAUCAUUUGAUUCCCUCUGUCUAUUUGUCUGUCAUCCUUUUAGAUUGUAAGAUUGCUUAAGCUGGGCUCUCUUCACCUGCUGUCUCGUAUAAUAAACAUGUUUUAUUAGUAUUACUUGUUUCAUGUGCCAAGAAUAUGAUAACUCUGAGAAUGGACAAAGUUUAGGGAAACUCAGAAGCUUUCUCUUCGGUUAGUCCCUGUUCAAAAAUAAUUUUGCUCACUUGUGCCAUUACGAAGAGAACCUAUACCAUUCACAUAUCAGACUGGUUACAUCCACAAGUGCAGCCCAGAACCGAAAUUCUUGCAAGAUCUCUCUGCAGAAGAGAGACAGCAACCCCAGACAAUCGUUUUGCGCUUUGCGAAGUGUGCCUGAUACACCUAUGGGGAGCUUGUCUUGUUUACUGUGGAAUAUGUUGCAACUAUAUAAAUUCUUGUAAUUGUGCAUACACCUAAUACUUAAUUUAUUUGUUCCUUUUCAUUAUUAUUAUUAUUUCAGACUUACAAAAGGAAGAUGUCUUUCAAUGCGAGAUUGACUACGAAGGAUUUGAAGAACUUGAAAACAGAAAGUCAAAGAGGAGUAAAAGAAAAAAUAAGAGACAAAAAAUAAUGUGAUUGUGUUCUAAUCUAGAAAAGACUAAAUUUAUUAACAAGAGCCAGAAAAGCUUUUCUUCCAUUUGUGUACAUGCCG